rnacentral:tRNA from 1 species
GGAAGGGUGGCUCAGUGGUAGAGCGCCGAUGGUUGGACAUGCCAGAAAUCCGGCUAUCGGUAUAACCCGCAAUGGGCUUCGCGUGGUUCAAAUCCCGCCCCUUCCG